AUUGAACGCUGGCGGCAUGCUUUACACAUGCAAGUCGAACGGUAACAGGGUGCUUGCACCGCUGACGAGUGGCGAACGGGUGAGUAAUGCGUCGGAACGUGCCGAGUAGUGGGGGAUAACGCAGCGAAAGUUGUGCUAAUACCGCAUACGUACUGAGGUAGAAAGUGGGGGACCUUCGGGCCUCACGCUAUUCGAGCGGCCGACGUCUGAUUAGCUAGUAGGUGAGGUAAAGGCUCACCUAGGCGACGAUCAGUAGCGGGUCUGAGAGGAGGAUCCGCCACACUGGGACUGAGACACGGCCCAGACUCCUACGGGAGGCAGCAGUGGGGAAUUUUGGACAAUGGGCGAAAGCCUGAUCCAGCCAUGCCGCGUGUCUGAAGAAGGCCUUCGGGUUGUAAAGGACUUUUGUCAGGGAGGAAAUCCCUAGUGCUAAUACCUUGCUGUUUUGACGUUACCGACAGAAUAAGCACCGGCUAACUCUGUGCCAGCAGCCGCCGUAAAAC
rnacentral:rRNA from 1 species